AUGAAUUGGUGUGCAGAUAUUUUGACAGCAGAAGCGUUGGUUCUAAGACUUGGCUUAUUACUUGCUAAGAAAACGGGAUGCAAUCGUCUUGUUGUUAACACUGACAAUAUGAAAGUGAUUGACAUAAUGGAGAAUGGAGGACAUUCAGCAGGAGCGACGGCAGUCCUAUUCGACGACUGUUAUGUUAUGGCAUGUGAUUUUCCUCUUAUUAUCUUUGAACAUUGUAAUAGGAAGAAUAAGGUUGCUCAUAAACUUGCUAGGUUAGCUAAAUUCUCUGUAAAUGGUUUGAGAAACCAAUGA
rnacentral:rRNA from 1 species